rnacentral:rRNA from 1 species
CCCCAAAGAUUUAAGAGUUACUCAACUAAGGCACAGCUUAUUUGAGAUAGGGUACAACCUACACCCCUGGGUAAACUCCUAACACUAUUAUGAGUGGGCCUAAAAGCAGCCAUCUUAAAAAGCGUUAAAGCUUAUUAUAGACUUACUACUAAUACCACAUCCAACCAUGAACCCUUCCUCUCUAUUAAGUGAUUCCAUAAAUAUAUGGUAACCCUAAUGCUAGGAUUAGUAACAAGAAUCUUAUUCUCCAAAAUGUAAACACAAGCCAGAAUGGACAGGCCACUGGCCCCUAACGGAAGUGAACCUCGUGCAGUAACAUAACAAGAAAACCUUGCUUUAUCUAACCGUUAACCUAACACUAGUACAUUUCUGGAAAGAUUAAAAGGGUGGGAAGGAACUCGGCAAAACAUAACUCCGCCUGUUUACCAAAAACAUCGCCUCUUGACCAAAUAUAAGAGGUCCAGCCUGCCCAGUGAAAAUUAAACGGCUGCGGUACCCUGACCGUGCAAAGGUAGCAUAAUCACUCGUUCUUUAAAUAAGGACUCGUAUCAAUGGCACCACGAGAGUUAAACUGUCUCCCCCCCCCAAUCAGUGAAAUUGACCCCCCCGUGAAGAAGCGGGGAUAUAAAUAUAAGACGAGAAGACCCUAUGGAGCUUAAAACACAUAUGCAUCUCUACCCCACAACCCCACAUAAUACUUAGAGUUUUGCAGUAAGGUCUUUGGUUGGGGUGACCGCGGAGUAAAAACUAGCCUCCACAACGUAAAGAACUAAAUCUUUAUCCAAGAAUUACUAUUCAAAGAAUUUGAAAACAAACGACUAAUGAUCCGACUUUCGAUCAACGGACCAAGUUACCCUGGGGAUAACAGCGCAAUCUACUUUUAGAGCCCUUAUCAACAAGUAGGCUUACGACCUCGAUGUUGGAUCAGGGUAUCCUAGCGG